ACAGGUGGACGAUACACUUUUUGCGUGGAAUGAUGCACUUCCACACUGUUCUAGUGAGCAACACACGGUUCACAGUGACCGAUACAUUGUUUUACGGUGGAUGUUACUGUUGAUGGAAGAAGAAAAGAAUUUAGAGGAAAAAAACAGAGGGUGAGAGACGUAGAAUUAAAAAACAAAGGGAGAGCAAUUAAGUUUUAGUAUGGCGGCUUAGAGAAAAUUACGUUUUGAGAAAAGUUUCUGAUACCUUGUUGAAUGAUGAGAACUGAGAAGCACAAUAUUUGGUUCCCUUCUCCGUGUAUUCAAUU